rnacentral:misc_RNA from 1 species
AAAUGUUCUACCCAUUACAGAAGAGGGAGAGAAAAUACAGCACCUGUAACCAUUAAAUAUAAAA